AUGGCCAUUACUAUCUCCUCCGGUCUUCACUGCUCCCUCCUCAUGGCGACCCUGAUGCUGCUCGUCGUCCAGGCGCAGGGCAUCACCAGGCACUACGAUUUCAAUAUUCAAAUGGCGAACGUGACGAGGCUCUGCGGCACCAAGAGCAUCGUGACGGUGAACGGGCAGUUCCCGGGGCCGGAGCUCAUCGCGAGGGAGGGCGACCGCGUGCACGUCCGCGUCACCAACCACGUCGCGCACAACAUGUCAAUCCACUGGCACGGCAUCCGGCAGAUGCGCACCGGCUGGGCGGACGGGCCGGCGUACGUGACGCAGUGCCCGAUCCAGAAGGGGCAGACCUACGUGUACAAGUUCACGGUGACCGCGCAGCGCGGCACGCUGUGGUGGCACGCGCACAUCUCCUGGUUCCGCUCCACCGUCUACGGCGCCAUCGUCAUCCUCCCCAAGCUCGGCGUCCCCUACCCCUUCCCCGCGCCGCACAAGGAGCUCCCGCCCGUCAUCUUCGGUGAAUGGUGGUUGUCGGACACUGAGGCCAUAGUCAACACGGCCCUCAAGGUGGGCGGAGCCCCCAACAUCUCCGACGCGUUCACGAUCAACGGCCUUCCUGGGCCGCUCUACAACUGCUCUGCCAAAGACACGUUCAAGCUGAAGGUGGAGCCCGGGAAAAGGUACCUGCUGCGCCUCGUCAACGCCGCGCUCAACGACGAGCUCUUCUUCUCCGUGGCUAACCACACGCUCACCGUCGUCGAGGUCGACGCCGUCUACGUCAAGCCCUUCACCGUCAGGACCCUGGUCAUCUCCCCGGGCCAGACCACCAACGUCCUGCUCAACACCAAGCCGGCCUAUCCCGGCGCCAACUUCUACAUGUUCGCCAGACCCUACUCCACCAUCAGGCCCGGCACCUUCGACAACUCCACCGUCGCCGGCAUCCUCGAGUACCGCAACCCCGGCUCGCCCUCCGCGGCGAGCUUCGACAAGGCCUUGCCGAUCUUCAAGCCGAUGUUGCCGUACUUCAACGACACCAACUUCGUGACCAAGUUCACGACCAAGCUCCGCAGCCUCGCCACAAAGCAGUACCCGGCGGCCGUGCCGCAGUCGGUGGACCGGCGGUUCUUCUUCACGAUCGGGCUCGGCACGCUGCCGUGCCCCAAGAACAUGACGUGCCAGGGGCCCAACGGCACGCAGUUCGCGGCGGCCGUGAACAACGUCUCCCUAGUGCUCCCCUCUACGGCGCUCCUGCAAUCCCACUUCACCGGCCUCACCAGCGGCGUGUACGCGGCCAACUUCCCGGCCAUGCCCCUGUCGCCGUUCAACUACACGGGGACGCCGCCGAACAACACGCACGUGGCCACGGGGACCAAGCUCCUCGCACUGUCGUUCAACACGUCAGUGGAGCUGGUGAUGCAGGACACGAGCAUCCUCGGCAUUGAGAGCCACCCGCUUCACCUGCACGGCUUCAACUUCUUCGUGGUCGGGCAAGGGUUCGGCAACUACGACGCCGUGAAGGACCCGGCCAAGUUCAACCUCGUGGACCCCGUCGAGCGGAACACCGUCGGCGUGCCGGCCGGCGGGUGGGUGGCCAUUCGCUUCCUCGCGGACAACCCAGGUGUAUGGUUCAUGCAUUGCCAUUUGGAGGUGCAUACGACGUGGGGUCUGAGAAUGGCGUGGCAGGUGCAGGACGGCAGCAAGCCGAGCCAGAAGCUGCUCCCCCCGCCGUCUGACAUGCCCAAAUGCUGA
rnacentral:rRNA from 1 species